rnacentral:tRNA from 1 species
GGGGGAAUACCAGAGUGGCCAAAUGGGACUGACUGUAACUCAGUUGACGUACGUCUUCGGUGGUUCGAAUCCAUCUUCCCCCAC